rnacentral:tRNA from 1 species
AAAAAGUAGCUUAAAAAAAGCAUUCGUUUUACGACCGAAAAAUAUUGUCCCGAUCUUUUUGG